GGGGAUGUAAAGGUUUCGACGGGGGUUUGGAGUCUAGAGUAGCGAGUCAUGUUUACUCCGGUUCAUGUAAAAAACUUGGGAAUAAAUAUAAUUGCAAACGAUAAUUACGCUUUAGCUGCCUAAUCGCGGCUCGUCCUCCUAAGUGUCCCGCGAACUUAGAUAGGGCGUCAAACUAGUGGGGAACUGUCUUUAGGGGUGUCUCGACCAAAAGACGGAUCAAUUGGGACUGGCCGAGCAAGCAUUCUGUUGCUGGAAGAUUUGCAAGGCGAGAUUUAAAACAGCAAAUACACUCGUAGAAGCUCUAGGUAAAGGGCUUUCGGACAGGGGUUCGACUCCCCUCAUCUCCACCA
rfam:[Clostridium] litorale DSM 5388 strain W6 CLIT_23c, whole genome shotgun sequence.